GAAAAACUGAAGCCUCCAAAAUCCUGGACUAAUUGAAGACCAGAACCUUUCAGAAGAACCAGAACAGAACCAGCUGAUCUGAGUUGGAGCAGCAAGUUGGUUCUGAUUGGACCUUCUGCCUGUCUGGACAUCCUGAGUACCGCCAGCUGGACCGGUACCGGCUCGGAACCAUCUGGUGGAUCAGUGCCUUGCUCAGGAUCAACCUUCAACAUGACGGAGGAAGCAGGAAUCUAACCCACAACCUUCCGCUGAUCCAACAGGCGGUUUCCUGGUCCUCCAGAACCAUCUCAAUCUGGACACACGGCCUCGUUAGCUGAACAUUUUUAUUUGUAGAAGCUGAAAUAUUUUUUUCUCUUAUUGUUUCAGAUUCAAAUUUAGAAAGAAAAAAAAACAAAAACAUAAAUUGAUUAUUUCUGAAUCUUUCUACUGGGAACCGAACCGUUCGGAACCGGACCGUUCUGGUCCGGUUCCGGUUCCUCUGAAUCAGCUCCACGUGUUUCUGCUUCAGGUAGAAAAA